rnacentral:rRNA from 1 species
GACGAACGCUGGCAGCAUGCCUAACACAUGCAAGUCGAACGGUAAGGCUUCCUUCUGGAAGUACACGAGUGGCGAACGGGUGAGUAACACGUGGUUAACCUACCCUUGACUGGGGUACAACCGAGGGAAACUUCGGCUAAUACCGCAUAACGCGCAUUGCUUCAGGGUGGUGUCCACAAGCUCCGGCGGUUCAGGAUGGGCCCGCGGCGGAUUAGCUUGUGGGUGAGGUAACGCCUUACUAAGGAGACGACCUGUAGCUGAUUGGAUAGGACGAUGAGCCGACGUGGAACUGAGACACGGGCCAGACUACUACGGGAGGCAGCGGGGGCGAAUCUUGCGGAAGGGGCGAAAGGCAGACGCAGCAAUGCCGCGUGAGGGAAGACGGCCUUAGGGAGGUAAACCUCUGUCAGCAGGGACGAACACAGACGGUACCUGCAGAAGAAGCCCCGGCUAACUACGUGCCAGCCGCCGCCGUAA